AUUCCCUUUCACUGAUUCCAGUUGUUUUGUACACUGUGUUAGAAGUAUGUUUGUUUUAGCUUAUGGGCUACAGAAAAAUAUCUAGUAAUUUGACUAGUGCAGGUUGAUCAUUGAUCAAAUGUGUUCUACUGAAAUAUUAAGCCAUUCAAGUUGUGUGAUUCUCGCGAUCUACUUAUUAUAAAAGUUUAAGAUCAACAAAGUCAGGUUAUGUAGGAUACAACUAAAUGAAUAUCUGCAUACGGGUGUCAAUAGAGUAUAAAAUGCCUCUGUCCGAAGUGAGAAGAUGUGUAACCAUCAAAUUUACAUUAUUAUUGAUGUUAGCUACUGUAGCUUUAGCUCAAUCACCAGAUAAUAACUCAGUAAUUGGUCCAAAUAAAGCUAAUGGAGGUGCUGUCGCAAAGUUUCGUAAAUACUUUUCUCAGUGCAAAACACAUACAAUUGAAUUUGACGAAUGUAUAAAGAAUGCAAUCAAUAAUGUCAGACCAUACUUUACAACAGGUGUACCAGAACUUGGAAUUCCUCCGUUUGAUCCAUUCUUUGCAAAGGAGGUGAAACAAAGUAAAGGAGCUGGUUUAUUGGGUUAUAAGUUAACUUUAUAUAAUGUAACUGAAAGCGGAUGGAGACUUUCGGAAAUUAAAAAAAUCAAAACUAACUUCAAUACAAAUACAAUAAAACUUACACAUUAUUUCCCUGAGAAAUAUUUAGAAGGUUACUACGAGGCAGAGAAUACUAUACUACGGCCUGGAGUUACAACAGUUGGCCAAUUCAAUCUGACUUUAUACGAUUAUAUUCAAACAAUGACAAUAAGCAAACCAAAAAAUACAAAUCAAAUUAAAGUAACUGUACAACUUGAAGAAAUUGGAAAUAUGUCUCUGCAUAUUAGCAAUCUUUUGCGUGGAAGAGUUAUCGUUGAAAACGUUUUGGACAGAAUAAUAAACGCCUCGUGGAGAGUUGGUUUGCCAGUUGUAAAACCACUUAUAAACGACCUUGUUGCUUCAGCUUUUACUAAAAUUUGGAAUGAUAUUUUUAAUGAUUUUGAUUUUAGUUAUUUACUGCCAUAAAUUAUUUACAGGUCUAGACUUAGUUUCACCUUAAAAUAUGGCCAUUAUGACAGCCCAUAGUUUUAAAUAAAAAAUUAAUAAUGUUUCCGAGGACGUCGUACUUGUAUAUAUGUUUACGUUUUUUAACAUACGUCAUAACAAAUUUGCGUUCACAAAAAUUUCAAGUAAAUUUACUUUAAUAAAUAAGCUAACAGCAUAAAAAUAUAAAAUGGAUUCGGCUGAAAGCAAGUUUGCCAUGUUUAGGUUAGUAAGAUGGAGACCACACAUGCGGGUACGACGUCCUCUUAUUUAUAAUUAUUUUUAUCAUUAUUACAUAUUUUUAAAACAUAAUUAUUUUCAUCAAUCAUUAUUUCAUUUCG